rnacentral:rRNA from 1 species
AGUGAACGCUGGCGGUAGGCCUAACACAUGCAAGUCGAACGGCAGCACAGUAAGAGCUUGCUCUUACGGGUGGCGAGUGGCGGACGGGUGAGGAAUACAUCGGAAUCUACUUUUUCGUGGGGGAUAACGUAGGGAAACUUACGCUAAUACCGCAUACGACCUACGGGUGAAAGCAGGGGAUCUUCGGACCUUGAGCGACUGAAUGAGCCGAUGUCGGAUUAGCUAGUUGGCGGGGUAAAGGCCCACCAAGGCGACGAUCCGUAGCUGGUCUGAGAGGAUGAUCAGCCACACUGGAACUGAGACACGGUCCAGACUCCUACGGGAGGCAGCAGGGGGGAAUAUUGGACAAUGGGCGCAAGCCUGAUCCAGCCAGACCGCGUGGGUGAAGAAGGCCUUCGGGUUGUAAAGCCCUUUUGUUGGGAAAGAAAAGCAGCAGGUUAAUACCCCGCUGUUCGGACGGUACCCAAAGAAUAAGCACCGGCUAACUUCGU